rnacentral:snRNA from 1 species
GAUAGAUUAGCAAACUAUGCUUU